CUCGUAGUGGUUGGUGGCUGCUGUAUCAAAAGCCUUCCUGUUAUCACUAAAGGCGUAGACGCCAUUGGUGUCGUCCAGCUAGAGAUCAUAGCUUCUGUUCCUUGUUGUUGAUGAUUUUUCUGUUUCCUGUGUGCAAGGGAAGGUGGUGACUUUGUUCCGUGAGAAGCUGUAGGGCGGCAUCCUUCUUCCUUUUCGGUGGAAGGAGUGUAGCAUUGUUCAUGUGGUUCUGGAGUAGCUACGGCGGCAGCACUCAUCGGUGUAACAGCGGCAAAAGAGGUUUGCAUUUUAUGCCGGCAGCUACGUUCUUACAACAACUCCUGUUCCUUAAUCCAGUUGGCAAUGGUGUGGGCGAUUUACGGUGACUACUUAUUAAAUUUGUCGGCUUAUACGGUGCUGUGUCGACGCUAACCUUGUGUUAUUCUCCAAUUGCGCAUCUGUAGUGCACCGGGGUCACACAUCUACCACGUGUGUCAUCAGUGGCUGCUGAAGUUGAGCUCAUAAUAGAGUUCUCACAUGCAAGUGGUCGUCAUCGUCGAAUCUUGGUUUUCUGGUGGUUCUACGAGCCAUUAUUCCAAUUGUUGAACUUGGUGAAGUUGGCGUUCGGGUUCUGUCGACGUGUGAUGUCUUACAGCAAGUGAUAAGAGCAAGCUGGUGUCGGGAGUCUAGCUCUAAAUCAAUUGUUUUUAUUUUGUUCUUUGUUCCGUGGCGGCAAUCAAGGGUGCACAGAACCAGUGUGGAAGCAAGUGGCGCUAGUAUUUCCUUCAUUCCCUCUCGCAUGGUUCUACAUUCAUAUCGAGGUGCUAGUGGAGUGCAGCGCUGCAAGGCCUCCCUAGUUGUUAGGUGACUGGAGCUACGGCGGGGGAUUCCUGUCCUUGUGGUUGAAUGAGAAGAAGUGCUCAACGAUUCUAGCUGCAUUAUUGACGUUGCUUGCGGCACUAGGGUGGCUGAUAGAACCUGUGAGAUCCGGUUCCAUGGUUCUGUAUCAUUGCGUUUGAAAGAGAUCUCAGUAACAUGGUUGAGGUGCAAUUGCAUUGCAAGCGGCGAUUAUUUGUUUGUAUCAUAUUGCCGAGGACCAUGGCGUGGUGUGGUCGUCCUCAACUUUUUGCCUCAUGUUGUCGGCCGGGGCUGUUGGCGCUGUGUGGAGAUCGCUCCUUGUAUAGUUCUACGAGCUUUGUCCGCGAUAGUGGAGCAGAUCGUCGGGGGCGACAAUGACUUAGUUGUUUAUCCUAGUCGAUUGGUUCAUUUUCUUUGAGUAAAAACCUUGUAUGUGAAGCAAUGGCGAGAAUAUAAGCCCAGUCAUUCCUAGAUUUCCCCCUUCGGAAGUGAGAUCUUUGUAGAGGUGCUGUGAAUAUUGUUGCGAGCUGCUCUUGCAAAAGAAUUGGUUCAAUUCGGUGCGCCCUUGCCAACAGAAAGUUUCCAAGAGUUAGAGGUCACUUGUUCCUCGUAGGUUGUUAAAAUAGCUGUAGAAUUAUUCAGUGGCCGUUGUCGACACUUGUAUUGUUGUAAGGUGACUAAUCUCUAAUCCACGCUGCAUUGGAGUCGAAGUGAAGACUGGAAUUUCAUCGUUAACCUUCAUGCACAAUAAAGGAACUCGAACAGCGCACGAAAGGAGUGCUGUAUUGAGAGUCUAGCUAUUGCUAGAGGAAGGCAUUGAGAGCAACAAAGACUUCAAGGCAGAACCAAUUCCAAAAAGGAUUAUUAAAUAAUCGUGAGACUUCUAGAUUGGAUAAAUCUAAUCAGGGACAGAGUUAGGAGCUAAACAAAAUCAAGUUAGGAUGCAAUUAGGUUAAGAUUCUAAAUGAUUAAAUUUUGGAUGAAGUUUU